rnacentral:rRNA from 1 species
GGCCUUGACAUACUAAGAACUUUCCAGAGAUGGAUUGGUGCCUUCGGGAACUUAGAUACAGGUGCUGCAUGGCUGUCGUCAGCUCGUGUCGUGAGAUGUUGGGUUAAGUCCCGCAACGAGCGCAACCCUUUUCCUUAUUUGCCAGCGGGUCAUGCCGGGAACUUUAAGGAUACUGCCAGUGACAAACUGGAGGAAGGCGGGGACGACGUCAAGUCAUCAUGGCCCUUACGGCCAGGGCUACACACGUGCUACAAUGGUCGGUACAAAGGGUUGCUACCUCGCGAGAGGAUGCUAAUCUCAAAAAGCCGAUCGUAGUCCGGAUCGCAGUCUGCAACUCGACUGCGUGAAGUCGGAAUCGCUAGUAAUCGCGGAUCAGAAUGCCGCGGUGAGUACGUUCCCGGGCCUUGUACACACCGCCCGUCACACCAUGGGAGUUUGUUGCACCAGAAGUAGGUAGUCUAACCGCAAGGAGGACGCUUACCACGGUGUGGCCGAUGACUGGGGUGAAGUCGUAACAAGGUAAGCGUAGAUGA